rnacentral:rRNA from 1 species
ACGGACUGCCAGGGCUUUGUGAUGCGCUCUCAAAGAGUCGAGUUGUUUGGGAAUGCAGCUCAAAAUGGGUGGUAAAUUCCAUCUAAAGCUAAAUAUUGGCGAGAGACCGAUAGCGAACAAGUACCGUGAGGGAAAGAUGAAAAGAACUUUGGAAAGAGAGUUAAACAGUACGUGAAAUUGCUGAAAGGGAAACGCUUGAAGUCAGUCGCGUUGUUUGGGAAUCAACCUUGCUUUUGCUGGGCGUACUUUCCAGAUGACGGGCCAGCAUCAAUUUUGACCGUUGGAUAAAGAUUGGAGGAAUGUGGCAUCUUCGGAUGUGUUAUAACCUUCAGUUGCAUACAACGGUUGGGAUUGAGGAACUCAGCACGCCGCAAGGCCGGGUACUCGUACCACGUUCGUGCUUAGGAUGCUGGCAUAAUGGCUUUAAUCGACCCGUCUUGAA